rnacentral:misc_RNA from 1 species
GAUGAAGAACGCAGCAAAAUGCGAUAAGUAAUGUGAAUUGCAGAAUUCAGUGAAUCAUCGAAUCUUUGAACGCACAUUGCGCCCGCCAGUAUUCUGGCGGGCAUGCCUGUUCGAGCGUCAUUUCAACCCUCAAGCUCAGCUUGGUGUUGGGACUCGCGGUAACCCGCGUUCCCCAAAUCGAUUGGCGGUCACGUCGAGCUUCCAUAGCGUAGUAAUCAUACACCUCGUUACUGGUAAUCGUCGCGGCCACGCCGUAAACCCCCAACUUCUGAAUGUUGACCUCGGAUCAGGUAGGAAUACCCGCUGAACUUAAGCAUAUCAAUAAGCGGAGGA